rnacentral:rRNA from 1 species
GACGAACGCUGGCGGCGUGCCUAAUACAUGCAAGUAGAACGCUGAAGGAGGAGCUUCCUUCUCUGGAUGAGUUGCGAACGGGUGAGUAACGCGUAGGUAACCUGCCUGGUAGCGGGGGAUAACUAUUGGAAACGAUAGCUAAUACCGCAUAAUAGUAGAUGUUGCAUGACAUUUGCUUAAAAGGUGCAAUUGCAUCACUACCAGAUGGACCUGCGUUGUAUUAGCUAGUUGGUGGGGUAACGGCUCACCAAGGCGACGAUACAUAGCCGACCUGAGAGGGUGAUCGGCCACACUGGGACUGAGACACGGCCCAGACUCCUACGGGAGGCAGCAGUAGGGAAUCUUCGGCAAUGGACGGAAGUCUGACCGAGCAACGCCGCGUGAGUGAAGAAGGGUUUCGGAUCGUAAAGCUCUGUUGUAAGAGAAGAACGAGGGUGAGAGUGGAAAGUUCACACUGUGACGGUAUCUUACCAGAAAGGGACGGCUAACUACGUG